CACCCUGGCCUGGUCGUUCCAAGACAAGGGAAGCAGACCUGGAGGAGGCUGAAGUGACAGCAGUGCUCCUCAGUUGGUUGACCUUUGUCAUCCCUGAGCUGCGACAGGGACCCAGAUCUUCCCAGACUGUGCUCCUCUCUCCACCCCACCUCUGAGCAGGUCUGACUCAGAGGCCAUUAGAAACCUGAUGGGAACCUGGAACCCCACUCUCAGGUGUUACCCAAGGGAAAUGGAAACUCAUGUUCACACGAAAACCCAGACGUGAAUGCUUAGAGCAAUUUUAUUCAUAGUCACUGAAAUCGGGGAAGAGCUCGCAUCCUUCACCUGGAGGGGUCAGCCACUGUGGUCAUCCACACAGGAGCACACUCGGCGGGAACCCCUCCUCAAUACGGGGGAAGCCGCACGACAGCAUGGACGGACCUCAGAAGCGUAUGUCCAGUGAAAGAAUCCAGACGCGAUAGGCCACGUGCUUGCGAUUCCACUUCUAUGAACCUCUUUUUGGAAGAGACAAAAGGAGAACAGGCCAAAGAAAGUUGUGAUACAUCCACAUUUAGGGAUUUUAAAAUGAACUCAGUCUCAUCAUUUUGGAGCUUUUUAUCAGAGAGGGGGAGGAACCAGUAUUCAACAAGCACCUUACUAAGAUUUGAUGAAUAAACUGAGGCUCAGAGAAGUGAAUUACGUUCAAGUCAAAAGGAAGAUGGAGCAGGGAUUUGAACCCAGGUCUGUAGACUCCAAAGGGUAUCAUGGGAUAACAGGUAAAUGUGCUUUUCUAUUUUCCAGACUUUUCAUAAGGUUAUGUGGCUUUACAAUACAAGGUUACCGACUUCUCUCUUACUACUCCUUGUUGUAAAAGGGUUGCUCCCAAGUGGAUUCAGAGGUGUUUAAAAUCCCUUGCCUGCCUCUUCUUCAGGAGAGUCAUCAUCCUCCCUAAUGACCCCUGCUUGGUUUCUUUAUUUGGUGGAUUCGUUUCCUGAGGCUGCUGUGACAAAGUACCACGAACUGAGUGGCUUCAGACAACAGACACUUGUUCUGGAGGUAAGUGCUCCAAAGUCGAGAUGUCGGCAGGGUCAUGCUCCUGCUGAAGGUUCUGGGGGAGAAUCCUUCCUUUCCUCUCCCAGCUUCUGGUGGCCCCCAGCAUCCCUUGGCUUGUAACUACAUCACCCCAGUCUCUGUCUCCAUCUUCAUGUGGACUUGCUUCCUGUGUCUCUGUGUGUCCCCUCCUCUUCUUACAAGGACACCAGCCACUGGAUUUAGGGCCGACCCUAAAUCCAAGAUGACUUCAUCUCAAGAUGAAAGGAACUAAUGAUAUCUGCAAAGACCCUAUUUCCAAAUAAAGUCACAUUCACAGGGGGUUAGUCUUUGAACAUAUCUUUUGGGGAACACAGUUCAACCGACUACAUUCAGUAAGACUGUCUCAGAGAGGGCGGAGAGAAGCUGGGGCCCUGGUGCUCGCUGGUGGCCCUGUAGCCUUCGCUGCCCCAUGCUGUCAUGCCCAGACCUCGGGCUGGGGCUGCGCCUCACUCUCCCCUCUCCUCUGUCCGGCAGGCGGGGGGAGGGCAAGCUAGUGUUGCCGCUUAGCAGCAGAAAAUCACAAAGUCACCAUUCCUAAUAAACCCCAUUGCUUCUCCCUCCUUCCUUCUCCCAGCAGUUUCCCCAGUGGUGAAACAAGGCGACCGGGAGAAAUGGGGGGGAGGGGAGUCUGGAUUAGAAAAGAGCCUGACGAGAACAUAUCCUUUUAUGAUGGGGGCGGUUCUGCCAGUUUUUGCUGGGCCUCCCCUGUUCCCCCUGCCGCCCCACCCCACCCUAGGAACAGCCUUGACUGUCCUGUGGGGACUCCUGCCCUCUCCAGGUCAGUCAAUCGGGCAGGGCUGUCCCCACCACAGCUGGCUUCUUUCAGUUCCCGGCCCUCUGCCUCUUCCCCCAGGGCCAGUCCCCCCAACCCCACCCCGGGCAGAGCAGAUCAACAGAUCUUUGCUUUUCUGCAGCCUUGCCUGGCCCUCCCUCCCGAUUUAGCUGACCGGCCAGGGGCAGGCUGGAGCAGCCCACACCGGCCUGCCCACCGGCCCGAAGCAGGAUGCAUUCAGGUGAAAAGGGCGAGGAUGGCCCUACCGCAGUAAAAACCAACAAACCCAGUUCCCUGGCUGUGUGUGGCUCUGUGCUUUAUUUGUUUGCAGGUCAGAAGAGUGAGGAAGGUUGCAGGCUGAGCAGAGGGGCCGUGGAAUCCAGGAUGUCAGGACGGAGAUGCCACCUUGUUGUAUGCUACCCCAACGCCCCUCCCGCCCCACCCCUCCCCUCCCAGCUGACCUGGGGGUGGGGCGGGACAGAGGAUCCCCACCCGGGUGCAACACGUACAGUUCUGCAAGAUUCAGAAUAGCCUCAAAUCACCACAUUUUCGGAAAACGGAUGAAAAGCUGAUCAAACAGACGUUUGGUGCCAGGAUGAAGGGGAGCUGGGUCCUGCACGAUCGAGUUGGAGGCAAAGUGCGGGCUGGAGUUCUCUACAGCUGGAGGAGGAGCCGUCAGUCAUCCGUCAGGCGGCUGGCGCUGGACUGGCCCUGGGUUAUGUGGCUCCCAGUUACCUCCACGUGGAGGCCAGUUCUUGGGCCAUUGAGGGUCCAGAUGGCUUCCAGGAAUUCUCCCACCGAUGAAUGAAGAAGAGGACAUCCGAUGAACACGAUGGAAUAAGGUUUAAAUCUCCUGGUGAUUUGACAUGAAAUAUUGACAUCAAUGAACAUAACUCACAAUAGGUCCCUGCAGAGAGGACAGCACAGCCACACUGGGGGGAUCGCGUCCCUCCUGGGGGGCUGUGACAUCACGUGUGUGAAGUGCCUGCAGGCCUCCUGCGUCCGUAACAGAUGCCAGUUCUUAGCCCCUUCCCUCCGUCUUUCCUGGCGCAUGUCUCACAAAGAUGGUUUCAGUUCCUCCCAUGGGCCCCGCUAAGUGGAACCUGCUCCCCUCUGAGCCGCCAGCCCACCUCUUGUAAAGAGACCUACUCGAGAGAGGCUCAAAGGCUGAGGCAAAACAGCUACUUUCAAUCAACAUCUCGUUCUUUGCCAAGCACUCUCACCUGUGUUACCACAACUGUUCCUCAUCCAAUCUGUGCAAGGCCCCCAGCGCAUGCCUGGUCCCGCCUGCCCUGUCCACCCCCUGCCCCCUGCGACUUUAUCACGUGGCUUCUCAAGUCCUGCUCUGACCUUGCUGAGUAGUGGCCUCUGGGCAGCCCAAGACCCCAGAGAGGGAAGAAGUGACCUGGAGAGGAAGACAUCACAGGUGAGAGCCACAUGUGCCACCAGGUGGCACCAUCAGCACAGGACAACCCAGGGGCUGGCCUCGUGGCUGGAGGGGGUGGCGGCUUGAGUACGGGACCUUCAAGCUCUGGUCCCCGCCGCCCAAGGACCUCCAGUGAUUAGCCUCCUGGUCGGUGCUUGUCUCUGCUGGGGACACAACGGUACCAAGAGCCUAAUCCUAACAAGGCCUUGGCACGUGGUGA